AACGAACGCUGGCGGCAUGCCUAACACAUGCAAGUCGAACGAGACCUUCGGGUCUAGUGGCGCACGGGUGCGUAACGCGUGGGAACCUGCCCUUAGGUUCGGAAUAACUCCCCGACAGGGGUGCUAAUACCGGAUAAUGUCUUCGGACCAAAGAUUUAUCGCCCUUGGAUGGGCCCGCGUUGGAUUAGCUUGUUGGUAGGGUAAAAGCCUACCACGGCGACGAUCCAUAGCUGGUCAGAGAGGAUGAUCAGCCACACUGGGGCGGGGACGCGGCCCAGACUCCUACGGGAGGCAGCAAUGGGGAAUAUAGGAAAAUGGGGGGAGUCCUGAUCCAGCUAUGCCGGGUAAGUGAUGAAGGCCGGAGGGUAGUAAAGCUCUUUUACCCGGGAUGAUAAUGACAGUACCGGGAGAAUAAGCUCCGGCUAACUCCGUG
rnacentral:rRNA from 1 species